UACGGAGGGGGCUAGCGUUGCUCGGAAUCACUGGGCGUAAAGCGCACGUAGGCGGCUUUCUAAGUCAGGGGUGAAAUCCUGGAGCUCAACUCCAGAACUGCCUUUGAUACUGGAGAGCUUGAGUCCGGAAGAGGUGAGUGGAACUCCGAGUGUAGAGGUGAAAUUCGUAGAUAUUCGGAAGAACACCAGUGGCGAAGGCGGCUCACUGGUCCGGUACUGACGCUGAGGUGCGAAAGCGUGGGGAGCAAACAGG
rnacentral:rRNA from 1 species